UACGUAGGGUGCAAGCGUUAAUCGGAAUUACUGGGCGUAAAGCGUGCGCAGGCGGUGAUGUAAGACAGUUGUGAAAUCCCCGGGCUCAACCUGGGAACUGCAUCUGUGACUGCAUCGCUGGAGUGCGGCAGAGGGGGGUGGAAUUCCGCGUGUAGCAGUGAAAUGCGUAGAUAUGCGGAGGAACACCGAUGGCGAAGGCAACCCCCUGGGCCUGCACUGACGCUCAUGCACGAAAGCGUGGGGAGCAAACAGG
rnacentral:rRNA from 1 species